CCAGCGCGGUUAUACGAGGGGCCCGAAGCAGCAGACCUCGGCGUAAAUAGUGGCUAGAAUAAUGACCAACAUAUUAAAAACUAAACUCUAGCCUAACCGUAAAACACAGGCUAGAUGAAACCAAACAUUUUUAAUAACAGGUAAUUUGACCCACGAAAACUAAGAAACAAACUAGGAUUAGAUACCCUACUAUGCUUAGUCGUUAAUAUGAUAUUGUUCUACUAAAAUAUCCGCCAGAAGACUACGAGCGAAAAGCUUAAAACUCAAAGGACUUGGCGGUGCUCCACACCGACUUAGAGGAGCCUGUCCUAUAAUCGAUACUCCACGCUAAACCUCACCAAUCUUUGCCAAAUCAGCCUAUAUACCGCCGUCGACAACCUACCUCAUGAGAGAAAAACAGUAAGUACAAAAGUUCAACAACUAAAACGUCAGGUCAAGGUGUAGCUAAUAGAAUGGAAGAGAUGGGCUACAUUUUUUAAGAUAAAACACACGGCACGGUACUAUGAAACUUCUACCUGAAGGAGGAUUUAAUAGUAAAACUAACAAGAAAGUUAAUUUAAAAU
rnacentral:rRNA from 1 species